UGACAUAAUCACAAAGAGUGUAGAUAAGGCAAUAUACCAGAUAAGAUCUGCAGCACAGAACUUUCCAAAAUGGAAGGAACUACGCUCUGAUUCCAGCUCAGUGGUGGGGAAUUAAAUAGAAGGGAGAACUUCACCAAGUGGGGAUAUUUCCUUCUGCCCCAGUUGUGAGCAGAGUUGGGGGUCCAGGGGCCUGUUUUGGAAGCCUGUUUCUGGACUAGCUCUAUGACAAAGUUGGUGAAAAAUGGAGAAUGGCUUUCAGAGGGCAGUUUUAAUCCAUUGGGAUGGAAAUUUAGGAGUGGAGCCUGUAGGAUAUAGUGUUACUAAGCUGUUUUUGGCUUUUUUCUAAGCGUCCUUUAUUCCCUUAAUUAAACCCUUGAUUUAUAAGGGUUAUGUAUUAUUCUUUUUUCUUUCUUUUUUUUUUUGUCUUUUUGCCAUUUCUUGGGCCACUCCCAUGGCAUAUGGAGGUUCCCAGGCUAGGAAUCGAAUCUGAGUUGUAGCUGCCAGCCUACGCCAGAGCCACAGCAACUCGGGAUUUGAGCCGCAUCUGCAGCCUACACCACAGGUCAUGGCAAUGCCGGUCGUUAACCCACUGAGCAAGGGCAGGGAUGGAACCCGCAACCUCAUGGUUUCUAGUCGGAUUCAUUAACCACUGUGCCACAACGAGAACUCCAAUGUAUUAUUCUUCAUUUCCUUUAAGGUAUAAUGUCUGGCAGAGGGAGGUUUUAUCAGAAUUUUUAUUUUAUUUUAUUUUAUGGCCAUACCCAUGGCAUAUGAAGUUCCUGGGCCAGGAGUUGAAUCUGAGCCACAACUGCAGCCUAUGCCACAGCUGCAGCAACACUGGAUCCUUUAACCUACUGUGCCAGGGUGGGAAGCAAACCAUACCUCCACAGCAACUUGAGCCACUCAAGUCAGAUUCUUAACCUGCUGGGCCACAGCAGAACUCCCAGAACUUUUUUUAAAAAAAAUUUUUUUUUUUCCUACUUCUUCCUCAGAAAAAAAGUUUGUAGAUCUGAUCCAUUAUAGGAGAAAUUUGUUUGGUUUGGGUUUCCAAAUAAAAGAGGUACAAAAAAUUUCAUCAAAGAGCCACUAAGAUAUAAAGAGUUAGAAGACCAAAAGUGAAAAGUUAAUGGAACCAGAAUUAAACAGUAUAGGAAAGAAAACUACUGAUUUUUUCCCAUUACUUUAGGCUAAUUUUAGCCCUGUUACCCUCUCGAGCCCCUAGGUGUAUUGUUUUGCAUAGAGUUUUGUGUUGUCACAUCUAUGAUACAGCAUGUAUCAAUAUUUUCUUUUAUGGCUGAAAAAUAUUCCAUUGUGUGGAUAUGCCACACUUUGUUUACCUAUUCAUCAGUUGAUAGACAUAUUUUCAGUUCUCUUAGAUACAUAUUUGGGAGUAGAACUGCUAAGUCAUGUGGUGUAAUCUUAGGUUUAACCAUAUGAGGAACUGCAAAUCUGUUUUCCAAAGGGCUGCACUCUUUUACAUUCCCACCAGCAAUGUAGAGUUAGCAUAUCUCCACAUCCUCACCAAUGCUUGUUACUGUGUUUUUUGUUGUUGGUGGUGGUGGUUUUCGUUUAUUUUUGGUUUUUUUGCAUUUUAGGGCCACACACCAGCAGCACAUGGAAGUUCUCUGGCUAGGUGUUGAAUUGGAGCUGCAGCUGCUGGCCACAGCCACAGUAACGCUGGAUCCCCAGCCCACCUAGUGAAGCCAAGAAUCAAACCUGCAUCCUCAUGGAUACCACUCGGGCUCAUUACGGGGCUGAGCCACAUGGGAACUUCUGUUACAGUGUUUUUGAACUGCCAUCCUAAUAGGUGUGAAGUAGUAUCGUGCAGUUCCCUAAUGAUUAGUAUGUUCAAGCAUCUUUUCAUUUGCUUAUUGGUCAUUUGUAUAUCUUUUUGGAAAAAUAUCCAUUCAAGUCCUUUUCUCUCUCUCUCUUUCUUUUUUUUUUUGACUUUUUAGGGCUGCACCUGUGGCAUAUGGAGACUCCCAGGCUAGGAGUUGGAUUGGAGCUGUAGCCAUUGACCUAUACCACAGCCAUAGCAAUGCCGAAUCCUUAACCCACCGAGUGAGGCCAGGGAUCAAAUCUUUGUCUUCAUGGUUACUAGUCAGAUUCGUUUCCGCUGAGCCAUGAUGGAAACUCCCCUUUUCUCAUUUUUAAAUUCACAUACUUGUCUUUUUAUUGUUGAAUUACAAGUGUUAUUUAUGUAUUUUGGAUAUAAGUCCCUUAACAGAUACAUGAUUUGCAAAUAUUUUCUUCCGCCGUGUGGGUUGGCUUUCUUGGUGGUAUCCUUUGAGGUGUAAAGGCUUUUAAUUUUGAUUAAUACCAGGUUAUCUUUUGGUUCUUUUGUUGCUCAUGCUUUUGAUGAGAAACCAUUGCCUAAUACAAGAUCACGAAUUUGCUGUGUUGUCUUCUAAGAAUUUUAUAGUUUUAAUUCUAUUUAAGUCAGUGUGGGUUAAGGAUCCGGUGUUGCCAUGAGCUGUGGUGUAGGUUGCAGACUCAGCUCGGAUCUCGCGUUGCUGUGGCUGUGGUGUAGGCCAGCGGCUAUGGCUCCAAUUGAACCCCUAGCCUGGGAACCUACCUCCAUAUGCUGUGGGAGCAGCCCAAGAAAUGGCAAAAAGAUAAAAAAAAGAAAAAA
rnacentral:lncRNA from 1 species